GCAAAGUACUCGAACCCUUGGUUGCCGGCUUGCUGGAUCACGCCGUGGUUCUGUGGGACUAUGAACAGCUGUCCCUGCUGCACCUCCUGGUCAAGAAUUGCAUCUCCGUUCUCGUUCACCACCUGAACCCUAGCAUUUCCUCUGAUCACGUACACCACUGAGUGGGCGUUCACAUUCCAGUGUGGGCUGUAGAUACCAUUCUGCAUGCAUGCACAAGAAUAAUAAUAAGAUAUAUCAAGAUCAUUAGAACAUUAAUUAUUAAGCAUUAUCAAGAUCAUUAGUUAAUCAUAAUUAAAUAUAAAUUAGCAAGUAUAUAUAUGUUUGUGUAAUUGCUUACGCGGUAGAAGAAGCCUCUCUCGGCGCUGAGGCGGAGAAACCUGAGGAUGGGGAGGUUGUGGCUGUUGAGGGUGCUGAUGCGGCCUGCCCGGGGAGAGAAGAUGUCGGCACGCUCAGGGUUGCCGAUGUUCUCCUUCAACCUCAAGCUGCAGAAGGUCUCCUCAAGACCGUUGGCCAUCAGUUGUCCUCCUUGUUGUUGCCUCUCCUGCUGGAGCUGCUCCUGUUGUCGCUCCUCGUGCUCACGCUCCUGUCGUCCCCUUGGGGGCUGGACGAAGUCGAGGUUGCCCCUUACCUGGAUGAUUUGGUUCCUGUUGUCGUUCUGUCCCUGGAGGUUCCUGGCAGUCUCUUCGUUGACGUUGAGGGCCUGGGCGAGGAGCUGUGUGUUGAAGCCGGAGAAGACGUUGUUGCCGUUUCCUUGUUGUUCUUGUUGUCUGGGACGUCCGAAUGGUUGCUGAUGCUGUCCGGGACGCCCUUGCUCACCCUGCUGGCGGGGUUGGCUUUGGCCUUGUUGGUUAAACUCAUUCUCUGGGUUACCAGCUAGAUAGAAUUUCUACAUAUGAGAUAAAGGUACCCUUGGGUUUUGGUCGAGCUGGUUGUGAUCGCUGCUGACGUGGAAAAGGUUGACUGCAACAAGCUCCUGGUCGCCGUCGUUGUAGGACCAGUAGGCGACUCCGGCAGGGAUGGCGACAACAUCACCCUCACGGAUGCGGCGGGUCUUCUGGUGGCGGUCGAACUGUCGGAAUUGUUGUUGUUGUUGCGGGCGCCCUUGUUGGCCUUGCUGCUGCUCUUGUUGUCUUCCUUCUUCUUGUUGCUGUCUCCCUUGUUGUCUUCCUUGUCGUUCCUGCUGCUGCUCUUGUUGGCCCUGUUGUCGUCCUUGUUCUCCCUGUUGUUGUUGUUGUCGUUCCUGUUCCUGUUCCUGCUGGCGGCCCUGCUGAGAAGACUGCUGAGACUCUUCGAAAGUCUCAGGGCACCCAGAGAACACUGCCCCUAGAACACCCCUACCUGCACACCCAUUCAUGCAAUAUUUUAUUUAGUAAACUAACGACUCAAUUAAUUAGUCUCGUAAUUUAAUAGUUAAUUAAUUAGAUCUAGUAAUAACACGUGACCUUGGACGAUGUAGAUGAGUUGAGGGGCGUUGGAGUAGGAAGGCAAGUGUAGGCCGUUGCGCUGAAUGGUGAUUCGAGAGGCGGCGACCCCGGCACACUGGAAGUCCUCCUGGUUGAAGUUCCAGGUCUCGAUCUGACCCGCCUCCGCCUGGAUGCGGUUGUCGGGUUCGCGGGCUUGAAGCUGGUUGAGCUGGCACUGGUUCUGCGGACUCAACUGGGACUGGCGUGCCGCUAAGCAGCCAUUGAAAACCAGAAGCAAGCAAAGCGAAAAAACGAAAGCCUUAGCCAUUACACAAGGAAUGAGAAGGAGAUAGAUGACUUGUAAUUCGAGCUCACUUGUAUCUUGUGUUUGAGAUGUUAAAGCGGCGAGCGGUAGGCGCUGGUAUUUAUAGGAGGGAAAAUGAGUUGAGGCGUGGGCACGUAGAGUUUCGUGUGUAAGGCAUCUUUUGCCAUUCUUCUGCUUGCAUGGCUUUGAGGCUUCGAAUUGUUAACACCUCAUUUUGCGUAGCAGGGGCAGCUGGCUAUAUAUGCGGCAACCAGCGGUGGGGUUUCUCGUCAAUAUUGUUGUCUGGUUCUGAACUUGAUUCGCACCUGGCCGUUUGGUGAAGUAGAAUUCAUGGGACUUGGGAUCCGAACCAGGGCCCAUCUGACACUGCGUGCUUGGUGAGAAACGUGAACUCCACCUGAUUGUCUGUGAUGAGUUUUGUUGUGUUGUUAUUCUUCUAUCUUCUACAUUGUUCUCAUACCAACACCAUCAGAUAUUCUUCAGUUUUGUUGUUCUCAACUUUUAUGUCAAACCUACCCUCUCAUUAACUACUUUACUUUAUUA